rnacentral:rRNA from 1 species
CACAAACCAUCCCCCAGUUCGGAUUGCAGGCUGCAACCCGCCUGCAUGAAGUCGGAAUCGCUAGUAAUCGCAGGUCAGCAUACUGCGGUGAAUACGUUCCCGGGCCUUGUACACACCGCCCGUCACACCACGGAAGUCAUUCACGCCCAAAGCCGGUGGGCCAACCGCAAGGAGGCAGCCGUCUAAGGCGGGGGCGUUGCUGGGUGAAGUCGUAACAAGGUAGCCG